rnacentral:rRNA from 1 species
UACAGAGGGUGCGAGCGUUAAUCGGAAUUACUGGGCGUAAAGCGCGCGUAGGCGGCUUUGCAAGUCGGGUGUGAAAUCCCCAGGCUUAACCUGGGAACUGCAUUCGAGACUGCAUUGCUAGAGUAUGGGAGAGGGAAGUGGAAUUUCAGGUGUAGCGGUGAAAUGCGUAGAGAUCGGGAGGAAGGCCGGUGGCGAAGGCGGCGCUCUGGAACAUUUCUGACGCUGAGGCUCGAAAGCGUGGGGAGCAAACAGG